AAUUAAACUGGAAUCGAUAAAUGAAAUUGAAGCAUUUCGGGUGAGAUUAAAUAUAUAUCGGGUUAUCCACAUCGAAAACGGUUAGCCACAAGCACCAACAAGAUUCCAAAUCGACAGUGGUAAAAGACUGCACACCAAAAUGAAUAAGCGACAACAUCUUGGCCAUGAUGGCGAAGGCUUUCGGCGGGCUAAUAUUUGAUCACUGUUAUUAUCACUCGAUACUAAACAACCAAAGCAUAGAGAAGAAGAAAGACGAAAUUUAUAUUCGAAUCAAGCGUCCAGUGAUUGAUUAUUAAUCUGGUAUUUUUUGAUCCUGACAAAUUAGAAAUCGAUACACAGUAUCCAAAUAAAAGAGAGGAAAAACAAAUGCAAAUAUCCACUGACACAAACAUACACAUACACACAUAGGUACACAGACACUCACACACACACAUACACACACACGGACUCACGAACUCAAGAAAGACUAAAGUAAUAAAUAAGUGCAAAAAUAAUAAAUAGAACCGAACAAAUAGAAAAUAAGGAAGAGAUAUAAAUCAACACUGGAAUUGGUAGGUCCACAUAAAUUAUGAUAAUCUUGAAAUAUUAAACUGGUUAUUAGUUCUUGUCUAGUUUAUUUUUGCAUUCGUCACCAUAGUGGAAAGUACGACAGCGAAGAAGUCACUGACGAAAUAACAUUUCACGAUAUUUAGGAGAAACAACACGAUUAGGUUGCAGUCGGUCUGAUAUUCGGGAUUGUACAAAUUAAACAGAUGUUGUGUCAUAAUCUGCCAUAUUUUCU
rnacentral:lncRNA from 1 species